rnacentral:lncRNA from 1 species
AAAAAGGGCAAAAGAAGGAUGAGUAAGUUAGGCUUUAGUAUAAUAAUAUGAUUCGAGUUGAUUUGUGUAUUCAGGAGGUUUAUGUCUGCAUAACUGUGGAUUAGUGUUCUUACAAUAUCCUUAGUGUGCAAGAUUAGUACCUAUCAAUGCAAACUUAACCGAAGAAGACUUGUAGCCUGGAAUGAGUAGCUAUUGAUGUGUGUGUGCUUUCUUUGUUUUAUUUCAAUUUUGCUCGGAGUGCAAAAGUUCAAGUCCGGGGGAAUUUGAUAAGUGCAUAUUUAUGCACAAUUCUCCUACUUUUUACUUAGGCAUUUCUUUAUUUUAUUUUGUUUAUUUUUAUAUUUUAUUAUGUUUUCAUAUUUUAUUUUAUUUUUAGUUUAAUUUAAUUUUCGCACUUAUUUUUCAGCUUUAGCAGUCUGCGCGGAAACGAUCAUAACUGAAGUUCCGGGAAUCCGUUUGAGGCGUUCUAAAAAUCGCCGGAAAGCUAAGAGAGAGAGCUACGACUUUCGUGUUGGAGUCGAAGUCAGAUUCGGAGCUCAAAAUUCCAGAAUUUCGUUUCAAG